rnacentral:misc_RNA from 1 species
CUGUACCUCUCGAAUAUCGUCCAAAAUGCAUUUCUUAUUUUCUCACGUCAGUGUUGGCUAGCUCGUUCGACAAUUCGAUUCCACGUGCUCUAAGAUUCUUUAACCUUUUGGGGUCUGAUUCUUUACUGCAAUAGCAUUCUUCCGUUUCUUUCCUUUUAAUUUCUUUUUUGAUUGAUUUGAUUGAUUUCGAUAAUCAAUUCUGACAACGAAACAUUUCCCGCGGACUUUCUAGGAGACAAAAAUAGCGGACCACAAGGGGUUAACGACGAAUAAAUUCAGAAAAGAAAAUUAGCGAUUAGAUGAAUGAUUAUUUUGUAGACGCGUAUGUUCAGGUUGUACAGAUAUAUAUAUAUAUAUAUAUAUACACAUAUAUAAGGCACUCCAAGCGUGAGGCUGGCUGGCUGAAAUGUACAUGUAUUUAUAUACCAGUGUACGUGUGCUCGCGCGCGUACACGUUCCUCUUAAAAAUUCUUUGGUUUUAUUUUUCAUAUAUAAAUAUAUCUUUCUACAAUUCUAUGAUAAAUUUUGUUUGUCGCCGAGCACGCGCGCACACGUAUAUCAUCAACACGGUUAUAUACAUGUAUGUAUAUAGAGAAUAUAUAGGUAUAUGUAGAGAAUAUAUAUAGAUAUAUAGUGCAACAACAAACAUCAAACAGCAAGAUAACAACGAUUAAACAACACAUCAAAAAAACAUCAAGGUAACAACAACAUCAACAUCAAUACAAUGAUAUACAUAUAUAUGCGGUGAUAUAUAUGCAUGUAUGUAUGUAUAUAUAUAUAUAUGUAUAUGGUAAACAACAACACCAACAUCGCAACAACAAUAUAGAAUACGACAUAGAGAGAGAUAGAGAGAGAGAGAGAGACAGAGAGAGAUAAGUAGAGCAAUAAACAAGUCAAG